UACGGAGGGUGCAAGCGUUGUUCGGAAUCAUUGGGCGUAAAGCGCGUGUAGGCGGCCAGGUAAGUCUGAUGUGAAAGCCCGGGGCUCAACCCCGGAAGUGCAUUGGAUACUGUCUGGCUAGAGGGCGAGAGAGGAAAGUGGAAUUCCUGGUGUAGGGGUGAAAUCCGUAGAUAUCAGGAGGAACAUCAGUGGCGAAGGCGACUUUCUGGCUCGUUACUGACGCUGAGAUGCGAAAGCGUGGGGAGCAAACAGG
rnacentral:rRNA from 1 species